AUUGAACGCUGGCGGCAGGCCUAACACAUGCAAGUCGAGCGGAUGAAGGGUGCUUGUUUCUGGAUUCAGCGGGGGACGGGUGUGUAUUGCCUAGGAAUCUGCCUGGUAGUGGGGUAUAAUGUCCGGAGACGGGCGCUAAUACCACAUAAGUCCUGAGCGAGAAAGAGGGGGAGCUUCGGACAUCAUGCUAUCAGAUGAGCCUAGGUGGGAUUAGCCAGUUUGUGGGGUAAAGGCCUACCGAGGCGACGAUCCGUAACUGGACUGCGAGGAUGAUCAGUCACACUAGAAGUGGGACACGGACCAUGCUCCUGCGAGAGGGAGCAGUGUGGUAUGGUGGGCAGUAGGCGAAAGCCUGAUCCAGCCAUGCCGCGUGUGUGAAGAAGGUCUUCGGAUUGUAAAGCACGUUAAGUUGGGGGGAAGGGCAGUAAGUUAAUACCAUGCUGGUGUGACGUUACCCAGAGAAUAAGCACCGGCUAACUUCGUG
rnacentral:rRNA from 1 species